AUUGAACGCUGGCGGCAUGCUUUACACAUGCAAGUCGGACGAGUGGCGAACGGGUUAGUAAUAUAUCGGAACGUACCGAGUAAUGGGGGAUAACUAAGCGAAAGAUUAGCUAAUACCGCAUAUUAUUCGAGCGGCCGAUAUCUGAUUAGCUAGUUGGGGGGGUAAAGGCCUACCAAGGCGACGAUAAGGAGGGGGUCUGAGAGGAAGAUCCGCCACACUGUGUAUGAGACACGGCCCAGACUCCUACGGGAGGCAGCAGUGGGUAAUUUUGGACAAUGGGCGCAAGCCUGAUCCAGCCAUGCCGCGUGUCUGAAGAAGGCCUUCGGGUUGUAAAGGACUUUUGUCAGGGAAGCGGUACCUGAAGAAUAAGCACCGGCUAACUACGUGCCAGCAGCCGCGGUAAUAC
rnacentral:rRNA from 1 species